GUGGGGAAUAUUGGACAAUGGGCGCAAGCCUGAUCCAGCCAUGCCGCGUGAGUGAUGAAGGCCUUAGGGUUGUAAAGCUCUUUCACCGAUGAAGAUAAUGACGGUAGUCGGAGAAGAAGCCCCGGCUAACUUCGUGCCAGCAGCCGCGGUAAUACGAAGGGGGCUAGCGUUGUUCGGAUUUACUGGGCGUAAAGCGCACGUAGGCGGUUUGUUAAGUCAGGGGUGAAAUCCCGGAGCUCAACUCCGGAACUGCCUUUGAUACUGGCAAGCUAGAGUCCGGAAGAGGUAAGUGGAACUCCUAGUGUAGAGGUGGAAUUCGUAGAUAUUAGGAAGAACACCAGUGGCGAAGGCGGCUUACUGGUCCGGAACUGACGCUGAGGUGCGAAAGCGUGGGGAGCAAACAGGAUUAGAAACCCCUGUAGUCC
rnacentral:rRNA from 1 species